CAGCCGCCGCGGGAAUACGAAGGGGGCUAACGUUGCUCGGAAUGACUGGGCGUAAAGGGCGCGUAGGCGGCUUUGACAGUCAGAUGUGAAAUUCCUGGGCUUAACCUGGGGGCUGCAUUUGAGACGUCAAGACUAGAGUGUGAGAGAGGGUUGUGGAAUUCCCAGUGUAGAGGUGAAAUUCGUAGAUAUUGGGAAGAACACCGGUGGCGAAGGCGGCAACCUGGCUCAUUACUGACGCUGAGGCGCGAAAGCGUGGGGAGCAAACAGGAUUAGAUACCCCCGUAGUCCCUGUCUCUUAUAC
rnacentral:rRNA from 1 species